rnacentral:rRNA from 1 species
AGAGACGAGUCAGAGUUUGAUCCUGGCUCAGGAUGAACGCUGGCGGCGUGCCUAACACAUGCAAGUCGAACGAAGCACUAUAACAGAUCCUUCGGGUGAAGAUAUUGUGACUGAGUGGCGGACGGGUGAGUAACGCGUGGGUAACCUGCCCUGUACAGGGGGAUAACAGUUAGAAAUGACUGCUAAUACCGCAUAAGCGCACGAUGGUAGCAUUACCAGGUGUGAAAAACUCCGGUGGUACAGGAUGGGCCCGCGUCUGAUUAGCUGGUUGGCGGGGUAAGAGCCCACCAAGGCGACGAUCAGUAGCCGGUCUGAGAGGAUGAACGGCCACAUUGGAACUGAGACACGGUCCAA